rnacentral:sRNA from 1 species
GAGAGCUGGAUUAAAUGCCAGCGAUGGAAGCAAUUGUUUGCAGAAUGCAAUAAGCUGAUCAAUGCCAGUGUCACUUCAACAGUAUGAAUUAAGUAAAGCCUGGGAGAAGAGAACGUUAUUAAAGUGGAUGUCUAGGAGCUAUGUUUCCAUAUAAAGCAAUAUCCAAAGCAAAGAUCCCAAGGACCUCCACUACAGAAGUGACUCCCACAAGAAGUGACUCCCACAAGAAGAAGUGACUCCCACAAGAAGUGACUCCCACAAGAAGAAGUGACUCCCACAAGAAGUGACUCCCACAAGUUGUCCUCUAACUUCAAGACAUCUCCUGGGCACAAACCUGUCCCUCUGCCUCAGAGACAUAUGUAAAUGAGAUGUAAUUUUAAAAAUUAUUUCUCCUCAUCUAUAAUACUCCUAGCAGUUAGAGAAGCUCCUUCCCAAGGUCAAGAGGCAUCAGUGAUCUACUCCAUCCUUCAUAAGGAAAAGGAACUUGAUCUUGGAAGAAGGAGCUGAGAUACAAGAAAUUUCCCAUUGAAUACAGUGACCCUGGUGAAGCGUCUUCAUAGGGCAAGCUUCCCCAUAGCCAUUAAUGCCGUCUUUACAGUAACAACUCAGGUUUCUCCUCUUGACCACCAUAUUUACUCUCCACUUAUCUUUACAUGUGAGUGUUUCUGCCGUGGAUAUCCGAACCAAGUCCCUCAGAAAGUGGUAAAUCAUUAAGUCAGUGAAAUUCAAGACAGAAGAAUGAUCACCAUAUUAAAAUGAAAAGCUGAACUACUCAGAGCAGCAAGAGACACGCUGAUCUUUUGGAAGAGGAAGGUCAUUUUCCCUCUACUACCUAUUAGCCGAUGAAAUCAUAAAAUCAUUUUCAAGACUGAAAAAUUGAAGCUGUAAGUACCUUCCCCCACCCCUGGAAUCUACUCAUGAUAUCACAUGAUUACAGAUUCACAGAUGGAAUAUACCUAUUAAGCCUUGCCAGUCACACAGCAGGUGUUGAGUAAGCCCCGGGAAUGACUCCCUUGGCACUGCGGCCCUGAUUCCACACUGCAGAGUACCUUCAUUGAAGUAAAGCAAGAAGGACGCAGCUUUUGAGAUACUGGCUCAUCAAAGACCAUUCAUCUCAGUUCUACUGAAAAUAAUGAUGCUCAAGACACAACAGGGCUGGGUCCAGAAAAGGGUUGAGGACACACAAAAUUCCCUUUGUAUAAAGGGAAAGGCACAAAAUGUCUUAAUUAAAACACUGUGAUAUUUAGAAAGCACUUUCUAUUACACAACAGAUUGCCCAGGACAUCAAAUGGUUUUGUGAAACACGGAACAAUUUGAUCACACGAUCAUUAAUGCAUUGCAAAUUGAUUUUGUUUCAGUUCCUUUUGAUUCCUUUUAAAGUAAACUGACUCAGUGUCCGGCUGUCAAGACUCACUCUAAGGCACCAUAUGGUUUGAAUAUUUUAUUCUGGGUUUUUCUUAGACCUGUAAAACUAAUUAGAGAAUAAAAGAUGGGAAAACUUUUGUAGUGGAUUUUAUAUUAGAUUUGCACAUUAAUUUUAAUGAUAAUUGAUUUCAAAACACUAUCAAGUACAGUACUCCAGGUAGAAUGGUGAGGGCGGACCGUAGUACAGAAAGUUGAACAUCUAAAAGACUAAAUCUGUCCAGCAAUGAUACUGAAGAGACCAGUGAGAUGGCAUAGUUGGUAAAGUUCCCUGUCACCAAACCUUAUAAUUUGAGAAAACUGACUCCCAA